UACGUAGGCAGCAAGCGUUGUUCGGAAUUACUGGGCGUAAAGAGUGUGUAGGCGGUGUUCUAAGUCUGUUGUGAAAUCUCCCGGCUUAACUGGGAGGGUGCGGCGGAAACUGGAAUGCUAGAGGAUGGGAGAGGUAAGCGGAAUUCCUGGUGUAGCGGUGAAAUGCGUAGAUAUCGGGAGGAACACCGGUGGCGAAGGCGGCGAUCUGGGUAGAUACUGACGCUGAGGUGCGAAAGCGUGGGGAGCAAACAGG
rnacentral:rRNA from 1 species